GACUCAGUAGCUCAGUGGUAGAGUAGGGGAUUCAUAAGCCCUUGAUCACAGGUUCGAAUCCUGUUUGAGUCA
rnacentral:tRNA from 1 species